CGGAGGUGCAAGCGUUAUCCGGAUUCACUGGGUUUAAAGGGUGCGUAGGAGGGCAGGUAAGUCAGUGGUGAAAUCUCCAAGCUUAACUUGGAAACUGCCGUUGAUACUAUCUGUCUUGAAUACCGUGGAGGUGAGCGGAAUAUGUCAUGUAGCGGUGAAAUGCUUAGAUAUGACAUAGAACACCAAUUGCGAAGGCAGCUCACUACACGAAUAUUGACUCUGAGGCACGAAAGCGUGGGAUCAAACAGGAUU
rnacentral:rRNA from 1 species